rnacentral:rRNA from 1 species
AGGGCCCCCGGAGUGGAGGUGCGGGUUAUUUUGUUUCACCCCACACGAAAACACCCGGCCGGCACGCAGAACGGAUGGAUUGACUGACAGAUCUUUUUUUCUUAGUGGGGGGGGGGGGGGGGCAUGGCCGUUCUUAGGUGGUGGAUGGACUGGUCAGUUCAAAUCCGAAACCAAACUCGACCCUGGCCUAUAAAAUCUGUGGAAUAUAUAAAAGAAUGUUCUUCUUGGUGGAGGGACCGGCGGCGACCAGCAAAAAGAAAAAUAACAAUGGAGGGUGGUGAAAAAGUUGGGGGGGCGGCGCUGCGCGCGCGGUACAGGAACAUGCACUGAUCCUGGCACCUAGUAAGGAGGAAACGGUUUUCCCUCUUUCAUGCUGGCGAGGGGGAUAUUUUUGAUUUUGUUUCUUUUUCGAGGAAAUCAAGGAAUUUGGGGGGUCAUGAGGGCGCAAAGAUUAAUUUUUGGGGGCGCGCCUGCUCGCUGUGUUAACACUGCCCCCUAUUUGAUACAUUUAUUGAUGAU